GGCUCCUCGUGUAUUAUUAAAUAAGGAGUCGGACCUGCCCAGUGAAAUUUUUUAACGGCCGCGGUACUCUGACCGUGCAAAGGUAGCAUAAUCAUUUGCCUUAUAAUUGAAGGCUAGUAUGAAUGGUUUGACAAGAAUAUGGCUGUCUCUUUAUAAUUAAUUAGAAUUUUAUUUCCAGGUGAAGAAGCCUGGUUGUAAUUGAAAGACAAGAAGACCCUAUCGAGCUUAAAAAAAAUUAAUAAGUGCAAUUUUUAAUAUAAAAUUAAUAUUAUUUAUGAGAAAUUUUAAUUGGGGCGAUUGAGGAACAAAAAAAGCUUCCUUUAUAAUUAAAUCAAAACGUACAAGUGUUGAUCCAAAAAUUUUGAUUAAAGGAAUUAGUUACCGUAGGGAUAACAGCAUUAUCCUCUUUGAGAGCUCAUAUCGAAAAGGGGGUUUGUGACCUCGAUGUUGGACCAGAAUAUCCCAAAGAUGUAGCCGUCUUUAAAGGUUGGUCUGUUCGACCAUUAAAAUUCUACGUGAUCUGAGUUCAGACCGGCGUGAGCCAGGUCAGUUUCUAUCUUCAAUUCUAUAAAUAAACUUAGUACGAAAGGACCAGAUUAUUGCAAGUUAAUUGCUAAAAUAUUGAUAAACUAUAAUGAAUUUAUAAAUAUUUAAAUUUGUUUUAUCCCACAAAUCAAAUUAGCAAAGAUAAUGCAAUUGACUUAGGAUCAAUAGACAUAGGUGAAACUCCUUUAUUUGAUACUACUUUAUUUAAUCAAUUGGCAAUAAAGAUGGCAGAAUAAA
rnacentral:rRNA from 1 species